rnacentral:lncRNA from 1 species
GACAUACUUCUGCACUAGCUCUCUUCCAAUUAGUUCUAAUGACCAUGGCAAAAAUAAGAGGCUUAGACUUCCUUCUGUGCAGAUCUCGUCACCCCCCUCACCAGGUGCCUCUCUGAUGAAGCACGAACUGGCCUCGUAAGCACCCGGCACCCCUGGGCAAGUUGGGCGUGACACACCAUGGAAUGGCCGUAUCCUGAAUGCAGAAGCAGAGGACUGGAGGGCACAUCAAUAAGAAUAUAUGGUGACCACAGCUGAAGGACAGGGCAGGCCAUGUGAGUUGGAACACGGUUUCUCAGAAACCAAAUUAAGCAGCCUCCCUUUGACUCCAGAAUAGAGAAAAUUUGCCCCCCAUCUGUGUAAGAGUGGAAGUUUCAU